AUGUCGCCAGAGCCAGCGGCGAAGCGUGCGAGCUCAGGCGGCGGCCAAGCCGUCGCCUUCGCGGGCGACCGUCUAAGCAACCUGCCGGACGGCCUCCUCCACGCCGUCAUGUCCUUUCUCCCGGCCCCGCAGGUCGUGCGGACGAGCGUGCUGUCGCGGCGGUGGAGGGACCUCUGGCGCUCUACCCCCUGCAUAAGCAUCGAAGAGCGCGACUUCGAGAUUACCACUGGGAGUGGGGCAGGGGGUGGCCUCGACGAGCGGGAGGAGAGAUGGCGCAAGUUCGAGGACUUUACCACCAACCUGCUCUUGUUCCACGACAAUGUCGCGUCCUUGGAUAAGUUCCUGCUAUAUGCUAGUGCUACUCGUGCCUGUGCACUUCGCCUCCGAGACUUGGAUAGAUGGGUGCGACGUGGUAUCAAAUACUGCCCCCAAGUGAUAGAGAUUAUUAUCUCUUCGUGUCCUCGCAUUCAGUUUCCUCAUAUGGGAGCGAGUUCUUCCCGCCUCAAAAGCUUGCAUCUUUAUGGUUUCUAUCUGAACAACCAAUUCGCCGAGCUGCUCUGUUCCGGGUGCCCUGUCCUGGAAGAUUUGGUGCUCAGGAGCUGCGUCAAAGGUUUUCAAGAAAUUAAGUCACGCACAUUGAAGAAGCUUGUUGUCGACUCCUGUCGCAGUCUCUCUGGUGAUCCGGUGGUUAUCGUGGCACCCCGUGUUGCGUAUCUCCAACUGGGUAUUUCAUAUGGAUGCUAUUCCAACGGUAUUUCGAUAUAUGAGACAGCUUCUCUUGUGAAAGCAUCAAUUCAUUUGCUUUGUCUUGGUGAAACAUUCAAUUUGAAAUGUCAACAACGGCUUCUCGGUAACCUGUGCAAUGUGCCGAAUCUGGAGCUAUCGGGUUUCGACGCAAUGGCGAUGCUCGUUGAGGAAUCGGUUAAAUUCCCAAUAUUUUCUAACCUGCAAACCUUGUCACUUGAACAAUGUUUGCUUGAUAAAUGUGAACUCAACACCAAGCUGGACGCUUUGUUCAAAAUGCCCCUUGUUUGGAGAAGCUUACCUUGCAGUGCUGCAUGUUUCCAGUAG
rnacentral:rRNA from 1 species